CAUAUUUAUCUUCCUAACCGACCUAGGCAUCUUGUUGAGAGAGACAUACGUCCAGCAGCAGAUCCCAUCCGCCAAUCUACUCUUUUCUCUAUCUUUUGUUUUAGAUUUCAUUCAUCCAAUCCAUAAAAAAACCAAAAGAAAUCAUAUCUUGUUUCUGUUCUUGUUCCUAUUGAAAACUCACUAAAAGUUCAUAUCUGUUUCAGGUACGAUCACAAGCAAGAGACGAACCGGCCAAUACCAUCCAUCCGAGGCAAGGCUGAACCGCGGAACGGCCAUCCGUCCAUCCGUCCGUCCGUCCGUUCGACCAUCCGACCCGUGCCUACAACAUUUUGGUAUCAAAGCUGAAGUUUCCUCAAAACUCAGUUCUUUCUGAACCCUAGCCGUCACAAUUCAAAAAUAAAAUAAAAUAUAUUUACUUUCCUUAUUUUUAAAUUUUUGGAUUGUUCUCCAAGUUUUCGAUUUUUGCAUUUAAAAAAAAAAUUAAAAGAAGUUUUACUUUCUUUCCAAGUUUUCAGAAAAAAUAAAAAAAUAAAAUAUUCCCUCUUUCCUUUUUCAAACUUGAUCCGAUUUUUAUCAUAAAUUUUUGCAUUUACUCCUAGUCUUGGUCGAUACUCAAGUAUCCGACCCAAGCUACUAUUUAAUCCCCUCUUGCCUCUAAUUUUUCUUUGAGUAUUUUUUCAGAGAAACCAUGGGAGAUGUAGGUCAAGAUCAAGCGGCCAUAAACGCACAGCUCCUAGCCAACAAUGAAGAGUUGAGGGCAAGCCUUAGGGCUAUAACCGCCGAGCUUGCUCAGCUACGGCAGGGAGGCAGGCCCAACGGACCUCGACCACCAGGAAGGAAUCAGCCUGAUCCGCAUGACACUGACUCGGACGCGGACAGUACCGAUGAUACGCGCAGUCAGGACGAGGAGAGGCCAAACCGGGGAGGGAGGAGGAACGCGCGAGGACCCCGGGCCCAAGUAGGAGGAGGC
rnacentral:lncRNA from 1 species